GUGUGUGUGUGUGUGUGUGUGUGUGUGUGUGUGUGUGUGUGUGUGUGUGUGUGUGUGUGUGUGCGCAGAGCUGCUGAACUGAUGAGGUGACUUUGCAGUUUAUUUUGGAGGGAACCUCAAGGUUACAGGCAGAACAACACACUAUUGAAUGUUGCCAGCAGAGACUCCGUGCAGCAUAGUGGCACGUCAGCAUCGCGUAUUUCCUCCUGAGGUUGUAUUUGCUGUUGUUUUCAUGAAGAUUACCGCAAUUAUAUGAGCCAAUCACCACCAUCUUCACCGCAGUCUGUCAGCCAGCAGAUACUUGACAUAAAUGCAUAAAGUGAGCGUAAAGCAGCCCCAUACUGCUGAUUCUUUAUCACUGGAUAAGCUAGACUUAAAGCACACUGGCUGCUGCUGCUGCUGCAGCUGACCUAGUUUCAUGGGUUUGCAGUAAAGCACUUGUUAUAAACCAUUGAACACAACACAUGUUUGCUUCAAAUCAUUAGCUGCCUUUAAAAACAGAUAUGGAUCAAACAUGCCAGGUCUCUGUGUGUGUCAGCGUUUGUUGAAUCCAUCUGUGAUUGUUUCUAAAGUAUGAUUUUUGUAUGGAUGAAUUCUAUAUUUUUGCCAUCCAGUAUUGAUUCUUCAAUCAAUUCAGGUCGUUGAAUACAAAUAUUUAAACAGCUGAAAGCACAGCAGAUGCAACUGUGUUGUCUCUGGAAUGUGAAAUAUUAAAAGCUGUAAUCUACA